UACAGAGGGGGCAAGCGUUAUUCGGAAUUAUUGGGCGUAAAGGGCGCGUAGGCGGCCACCGCAAGUCAGUUGUGAAAGCUCUGGGCUUAACCCAGAAAGGUCAGCUGAUACUGCGGGGCUAGAGUGCAGAAGGGGCAACUGGAAUUCUCGGUGUAGCGGUGAAAUGCGUAGAUAUCGAGAGGAACACCUGCGGCGAAGGCGGGUUGCUGGGCUGACACUGACGCUGACAGCGCGAAAGCUAGGGGAGCGAACGGG
rnacentral:rRNA from 1 species